rnacentral:rRNA from 1 species
ACGCUCGACACCUACGGGAUGCAGCAGUGGGGAAUAUUGCACAAUGGGGGAAACCCUGAUGCAGCGACGCCGCGUGAGCGAAGAAGUAUUUCGGUAUGUAAAGCUCUAUCAGCAGGGAAGAAAAUGACGGUACCUGACUAAGAAGCCCCGGCUAACUACGUACCAGCAGCCGCGGUAAUCUGAGCGGGCUGGCAAGGC